ACCCACAGUACAAACAGUGACGCUUGAGCAGUCACAGGUGAGACGCGGUGUGGUCCACGUUACGGAUUUACCAAGGGGGAAAGACAGCCAAAUGUGUGUGUAAUCCGCACCAGGUGUUUUCAGCACGACAGUCUUUGGCGGCACUUUGGAGUCUACGUGUUUGUGUUCAUCUUUUCCGACCUGGAAGUUUCGAGAAGACAACCAGAGAGAGGACUGCGAGCUGCCAAAGCACUGCUAAAAGUACGACGUUACGGCUCCGACCUGCCGCCGCCAUCACCUCGUUUCUCCACGGAGCUGUGGACUGUGCGAGCUGUCACAUCUGUGGGUGAAGACCAAGAGGCGGAUAAACACGCUGCACUGUUCCCGAGCGGACACAAUCUCCAGAGUAAGAAUGUCUUUCCAUGGAUACGGCUAGUCUCUCAGCUUGUCUCAGUCCAAGAGGUGACCCAGUGUUUGGGUGAGUUCCUGCUUCUGGAUGAAGAGACACAGUCUUGGAUCAGGAAACCAUCAGAGUCCAUAAACACCUGCUGCUCAUCUUUACUCACAAUCCUCCCGUGGUGGAGCACCGCGGCCUGCCACUCCCUCUGACGCAUGAAGAAACCACACUGCAGACAAAACACAGAAAGCCUGUGUGUCCAACACAGUCAACGGCAGGCACAGACGGUCUGAAGAUAAACAAGGAGUUGGUAUUCACUGCACUCGCUGGCUGUGUUCAGGCUGUCUGUGAAGGUGUCUUCAGCACCUGACUGUGGAUCUGACUGCUGUUACACCUGCCUCUCCCUGCAUCUGAAUGUGUCCAGCACUUUGGUUUGAACUCCUGCAGAGCUGAAGAAAUCAGACUCACUUUGUGUUUACUGAUGAGCUGACAUGGUGGCUGACGCAACAUCCAUCACAACCACAGCAGAGUCUUUAUGAGUGUUCGUGACUCAUGCCAACGUGUCAUUUGGUCAGUUAUAUCAUGUUAUGAUUUCACUUGAUGUGCUCACAUUAAAGUGUAAGGCUGACAUAAA